CGCUCGUAGCAAUACGGGAGUGGCAGACGGGUGAGUAACGCGUGGGAACAUACCCUCCGGUUCGGAAUAGCUCAGGGAAACUUGGAUUAAUACCGGAUACGGCUGAGAGGCGAAAGAUUUAUCGCCGGAGGAUUGGCCCGCGUUCGAUUAGCUUGUUGGUGAGGUAACGGCUCACCAAGGCGAUGAUCGAUAGCUGGUCUGAGAGGAUGAUCAGCCACAUUGGGACUGAGACACGGCCCAAACUCCUACGGGAGGCAGCAGUGGGGAAUAUUGGACAAUGGGCGCAAGCCUGAUCCAGCCAUGCCGCGUGAGUGAUGACGGCCUUAGGGUUGUAAAGCUCUUUCGCUCGGGACGAUAAUGACGGUACCGAGAUAAGAAGCCCCGGCUAACUUCGUGCCAGCAGCCGCGGUAAUACGAAGGGGGCUAGCGUUGUUCGGAAUUACUGGGCGUAAAGCGCGUGUAGGCGGGUCUUUAAGUCAGGGGUGAAAUGCCAAGGCUCAACCUUGGAACUGCCUUUGAUACUGGAGAUCUUGAGUCCGGGAGAGGUGAGUGGAAUUGCGAGUGUAGAGGUGAAAUUCGUAGAUAUUCGCA
rnacentral:rRNA from 1 species